rnacentral:lncRNA from 1 species
AUAUAAUAAAGGAAAAGCACCUAUACAAUGUCAGAUUCCGUAGUUUAAAGCCCAACACUAAGGAACAGCAUCAAGCCCUUUUUUUUUUUUUUUUUUUUUUUUUUUUUUUUUUUUUUUUUUUUUUUUUUUUUUUUUUUUUUUUUUUUUUUUUUUUUUUUUUUUUUUUUUUUUUUUUUUUUUUUUUUUUUUUUUUUUUUUUUUUUUUUUUUUUUUUUUUUUUUUUUUUUUUUUUUUUUUUUUUUUUUUUUUUUUUUUUUUUUUUUUUUUUUUUUUUUUUUUUUUUUUUUUUUUUUUUUUUUUUUUUUUUUUUUUUUUUUUUUUUUUUUUUUUUUUUUUUUUUUUUUUUUUUUUUUUUUUUUUUUUUUUUUUUUUUUUUUUUUUUUUUUUUUUUUUUUUUUUUUUUUUUUUUUUUUUUUUUUUUUUUUUUUUUUUUUUUUUUUUUUUUUUUUUUUUUUUUUUUUUUUUUUUUUUUUUUUUUUUUUUUUUUUUUUUUUUUUUUUUUUUUUUUUUUUUUUUUUUUUUUUUUUUUUUUUUUUUUUUUUUUUUUUUUUUUUUUUUUUUUUUUUUUUUUUUUUUUUUUUUUUUUUUUUUUUUUUUUUUUUUUUUUUUUUUUUUUUUUUUUUUUUUUUUUUUUUUUUUUUUUUUUUUUUUUUUUUUUUUUUUUUUUUUUUUUUUUUUUUUUUUUUUUUUUUUUUUUUUUUUUUUUUUUUUUUUUUUUUUUUUUUUUUUUUUUUUUUUUUUUUUUUUUUUUUUUUUUUUUUUUUUUUUUUUUUUUUUUUUUUUUUUUUUUUUUUUUUUUUUUUUUUUUUUUUUUUUUUUUUUUUUUUUUUUUUUUUUUUUUUUUUUUUUUUUUUUUUUUUUUUUUUUUUUUUUUUUUUUUUUUUUUUUUUUUUUUUUUUUUUUUUUUUUUUUUUUUUUUUUUUUUUUUUUUUUUUUUUUUUUUUUUUUUUUUUUUUUUUUUUUUUUUUUUUUUUUUUUUUUUUUUUUUUUUUUUUUUUUUUUUUUUUUUUUUUUUUUUUUUUUUUUUUUUUUUUUUUUUUUUUUUUUUUUUUUUUUUUUUUUUUUUUUUUUUUUUUUUUUUUUUUUUUUUUUUUUUUUUUUUUUUUUUUUUUUUUUUUUUUUUUUUUUUUUUUUUUUUUUUUUUUUUUUUUUUUUUUUUUUUUUUUUUUUUUUUUUUUUUUUUUUUUUUUUUUUUUUUUUUUUUUUUUUUUUUUUUUUUUUUUUUUUUUUUUUUUUUUUUUUUUUUUUUUUUUUUUUUUUUUUUUUUUUUUUUUUUUUUUUUUUUUUUUUUUUUUUUUUUUUUUUUUUUUUUUUUUUUUUUUUUUUUUUUUUUUUUUUUUUUUUUUUUUUUUUUUUUUUUUUUUUUUUUUUUUUUUUUUUUUUUUUUUUUUUUUUUUUUUUUUUUUUUUUUUUUUUUUUUUUUUUUAUUUGUUAAAAAAGUUUGAAAUAUCCAAUAAAUUUCGUUCCACUCCUGAUUGUGUCCCACUUGUUGUUGAUUCUUCACAAAAAAAUUACAGUUCAUAUCUGAUGUUUUGAAAUAU